ACUCCUGGGUCCCUCCCGGACGCCUGGGUCCCUUAUUUUGUUUUUGGGGGGGGCAGGUCCGGGGGCGCCCGUCGUUAUGAGAUGCUGAAAGAGAUUAACGAGGCGCUGGAGGCGACCGACGGGGGAGGGGCAGCGCCACGCCCGGUCAAAGGUCGCCGCUCGCGGGGGGAGGGGCUGGUUCCCCGCAAUGGCAAGAAGCUGCUGCUCAAGGGGGAGGGGCCGGACUCGGACUGACUCCGCCCCCUAGGGCUGCAGGCCACGCCCACCCUCCCCUGACCCGCCCACCCCAUUGAUAAGCAAAGCACACACCUCUUCCCCAUUGCUCCGCUCACAAUCCCGCCAGCGCGCUUUUAGCCACGCCCCCUGAUCAACCCGCCCUUCUGCAUCUGCCCCCGCCCCCUUGGCUUGGCCCCGCCCCCUUGGCUUGGCCCGCCCCCCGGGGGUGUUUUUAAGGUUUUUUAAUGCGAAUAAACACUUUUUUACUGGC